GAUCCUGGCUCAGGAUGAACGCUAGCUACAGGCUUAACACAUGCAAGUCGAGGGGGCGAGCAUGGUCUUAGCUUGCUAAGGCCGAUGGCGACCGGCGCACGGGUGAGUAACACGUAUCCAACCUGCCGUCUACUCUUGGACAGCCUUCUGAAAGGAAGAUUAAUACAAGAUGGCAUCAUGAGUCCGCAUGUUCACAUGAUUAAAGGUAUUCCGGUAGACGAUGGGGGA
rnacentral:rRNA from 1 species